CACAGAGGGUGCAAACGUUGCUCGGAAUUACUGGGCGUAAAGCGAGUGUAGGCGGAUAUGCAAGUCAGAUGUGAAAUCCCUGGGCUUAACCCAGGAACUGCAUUUGAAACUGCAUGUCUAGAGUAAUGGAGAGGAAAGUGGAAUUCCUGGUGUAGAGGUGAAAUUCGUAGAUAUCAGGAGGAACACCGGUGGCGAAGGCGGCUUUCUGGACAUUUACUGACGCUGAGACUCGAAAGCGUGGGGAGCAAACAGG
rnacentral:rRNA from 1 species